rnacentral:lncRNA from 1 species
AAAAAAAAAAAAAAAAAGAUGAAUUUUAAAUUAUUUCGUCGUGAUAGAUGACGAUAUGUUUAUAGCGAGGUAUUUUUACAAGGUAUUAAAUAGUGGGAAGGAUACAUAAAUUAUUUUAAAAUUUAGAAGCAGUUUGGUUCAAGAUUUGUAAUAUUUUCGAAGUUAUUAUAUAUUUAAUAUUUAGAAUGACAAGCUUGUUACUAAUUUGUUAAAUCACCGACAGAUUUUUAAGAACUAUUAUAUUCUUAUUAAUGGACUACUAGUGAUUUUCAUCAAGUACGAAAAUUACCAUACCCCCUAAUUCAUGAUAAUCUAAUAUUUCUGUCACGUAAGGAUCCAUAAUGAUUCCACUACUUCACUAACACUUUUACAACUAUAUAUCUAACUUGAGUAGAUUGGUAAUAAUUUGAAUUAUUUUAAUAAAAAAUAUAAAAUAUUACUGAAAUCCUAUAAACCAUAAACCAAACGUGCCCUUUAAAAAACAUAUUAGUUAUUUAUUUGUUUGUGAAAAAUAUGCCAGU